UGCUCAUACAUGUACUCACAUGCAAAUCAAAAGGAUAACCAUUCUGUUGAGGUCAAAUUCAUGUAGAAUGCUGAGAAGAAAAUUAAGAUUAAGUCUGUAGAAAUUUGUUUUUAACUGAAAAGCUGGUGGUAUUUUUCAAAUAAAUGAAAUUUAAAUUAUAUUCACUUUGAAAUUACUGAACUGAAUGUUCAUUAUCCACUUGUAUUUUAGUUUCACAUGACGAUUCUCUUUAAAUUUAUAGUAAAAUGGAGAAUUGACUAACCUUGACUUAGAGAAUUUGAUUAUGGUUUAAAUUAGGUCCUAAGUUUUCUGGUAUAUUCAUGGCUGUGUUUAGAAGUAUGUGUUGGCCCUAACAUAGUUUCUGCACUAACAUUGGCAGAACAACUAAGAAAAUUUGAAAAUGUACAAUAGUUGUAUAAAUAAUUCUUUUGAAUAAGUACACAAUAGGUUAAUUAUGUUUUCAGGUCUUUGAUGUGUUUGGGAUUGUGUAUUAGGGACUUCAUAAGAGUAUCUUGAAAGUUAAAAAUUGCCACAUCCUGAAAUGCAGUAAGCAUUUUUAUAUAAAUAAAGUUUGCGGACCACAACUAGUUUUGUGCCAAAAUUAAAGAGAUGGAAUAAUAAUAUGUCAAAACUAAGCAAACGUUCUUUCCAAGUAUUUUGUAUACUUUUAAAUUUUGUUUCUAUUUUAAAUGUAAGUAAAGCUACUUAACCUCCAACUUGGGUUAGACUUCUGAAUAGGUAACCUUAUUUCUUCCAUGGUAGUAUCCACUGUAACUGCUUGCUUAAUCAUUAACUAGUACUGUUUGUGAAGCAGAGCAGUUCCUGAAUAGAGCUUACUUGAAGCCUCUGCUAUCUGAUGAAAUGUUCUCAUUCUCAUUUAAAUUGUGGGCCUUAUUUUACAGAAAAUAGUUUGCAGUUAUCUUGGGAAUAUAUCUACCAUCCCUCAAUUUCCCCCAAAAGACUCCAAACAGAGAGAGAGAGAGAGAGAGAGAGAGAGAGAGAGAGAGAGAGAGAGAGAGAGAGAGAGGUGUGUGUGUGUGUACGUACACGUGCGCAUGUAUACAUACCUGAUUUAUGCCUACCAAGAAGGCAGAAGUAUUGUGAGUUUGGGAUGUUUUCUCUAUGUAAAGUGAUUCAACGAUAUUUGUCAGGCAUAGUAUUUCUGUUCAGGAAAUAAAGAUGUUUACUUUUUUGGAACCAAUG
rnacentral:lncRNA from 1 species